GAGUUUGAUCGUGGCUCAGAUUGAACGCUGGCGGCGUGCCUAACACAUGCAAGUCGAGCGGUAGCAGGUGUAGCAAUACAUGCUGACGAGCGGCGGACGGGUGAGUAACGCUUGGGAAUCUGCCUAUUAGUGGGGGACAACCCGGGGAAACUCGGGCUAAUACCGCAUACGUCCUACGGGAGAAAGUGGGGGACCUUCGGGCCUCACGCAGAUAGAUGAGCCGAUGCCGGAUUAGCUAGUUGGCGGGGUAAAGGCCCACCAAGGCGACGAUCCGUAGCUGGUCUGAGAGGAUGAUCAGCCACACUGGAACUGAGACACGGUCCAGACUCCUACGGGAGGCAGCAGUGGGGAAUAUUGGACAAUGGGCGCAAGCCUGAUCCAGCCAUGCCGCGUGUGUGAAGAAGGCC
rnacentral:rRNA from 1 species